UAGCACAUCAGUGGAAAGGACAUGCUACGCCACGUUGCUAAUAAUGUACCGUCUGACGUUUUGCGUCAUGAACAUCAGCUAGUUUUUAUUUCCUUUCCUCAAUGUUGUGGCCCCGCGCGUUAACGAAGCGGAAAGUCUGACUGCAAUUCAUGUUAGCAACCGUUAGCAUUAGCAAGACAGCUGGUGUGGAAAGUACCUGGCGGAAAUACCGUACCUGUCACUUCAGUUUACAGCAAGGAUUGUCCCUUUUCUCCUCCAAGAAUGAGAGUCUACGUUCGAAUGCGGGCUCUCCUUGUGAAUCUUUCGGACUUUCAGUUUUGAUUUAUUAAGAAGUCAGUAUCAGGUUCUGCUGAUAUAAAGCAGGUACUCGUGUUACCCCUGGAGGAUUAAUUUUUUUUAAUUGUUUUGUUUCUAUUGAAUUAUGAAUCCUUAGACACCCCCAAAAGGGAUGUCCAAGAUGGGGGGAGGGGUUUGAGAGCACAAAUUCCUUGGUCUUGGUGUGUGUGUGUGUGUGUGUGUGUGUGUACGUACGUACAGGGAGUGCAGAAUUAUUUGGCAAAUGAGUAUUUUGUCCACAUCAUCCUCUUCCUGCAUGUUGUCUUACUCCAAGCUGUAUAG